rnacentral:rRNA from 1 species
GUAGGGAAUAUUGGGCAAUGGGUGCAAGCCUGACCCAGCCAUCCCGCGUGCCGGAUGAAGGCCCUCUGGGUCGUAAACGGCUUUUGACGGUGAAGAACCGAAAGGGUGCGCCCUUUUUUGACGGUAGCCGUUGAAUAAGCACCGGCUAACUACGUGCCAGCAGCCGCGGUAAUACGGAGGUUGCGAGCGUUGUCCGGAUUUAUUGGGUUUAAAGGGUGCGUAGGCUGGACGGACAGUCAGCGGUGAAAAGCAGUUGCUCAACAAUUGUCUUGCCUCAGAUACUACCUUUCUUGGAUUGGGAGGAGGUUACCGGAACGGAUGGUGUAGCGGUGAAAUGCAUAGAUAUCAUCCAGAACGCCAAUUGCGAAGGCAGGUAACUGUACCUAUAUCGACGCUGAUGCACGAAAGCAUGGGUAGCGAACAGGAUUAGAAACCCGUGUAGUCC